rnacentral:rRNA from 1 species
UACGUAGGUGGCAAGCGUUGUCCGGAUUUAUUGGGUUUAAAGGGUGCGUAGGCGGCCUUGUAAGUCAGUGCUGAAAUAUCCCGGCUUAACCGGGAGGGUGGCAUUGAUACUGCAGGGCUUGAGUAAAGUUGAGGUUGGCGGAAUUGACGGUGUAGCGGUGAAAUGCUUAGAUAUCGUCAAGAACACCGAUAGUGAAGGCAGCUAACUAAGCUUUAACUGACGCUGAGGCACGAAAGUGUGGGGAUCAAACAGG